UUUUCAGGCUUAAAACUAAAUGCAGUGCCGCUAUUGUAAAUUUUCACAUCUGCAGCAAGACAUCCUGCUUAAGCACUACAAGCUUCAUCACUGGCAAGCAGACUUUGAAGUCUUUGUUGGAGCGACCUGAUAUUCUUGAGAAAACGUUUCCCAUAAAGGAGGGUACACCAGGAUUCUACACCUCACCUUUUGAUGGAAACAAUGUUACUUCGAGUCAUUCUCUCACCUAACAAUAUCAGGAAGCUAUCAAUACCCACACCAUCGUCAGUUGAG